GGACCCUGAAACCAGUUCCUCUCAACAUGUUGCUGUUUGUCUACAUGUCUCUGUAAGCUCCGCCUGUAUUCUGUUAUUGUUCUUAAAUAUUUUGCAUUAUUAGCAUUUCUUUAAUAACUAACCUUUGCUACCUGACCGUGUGUUCCAUCAGCGUGUGUGUCCUGGUCUUGUCCUCCUGUUACCUGGCGUUUAAGAUCGUGUCAUUGGAGCAGAGACUGACGGCGCUCGGCUCCGAGUUCACCUCAAACGACUUCCUGAGUGGCAGUCCUAAUGUGGACACAGAAUUCUUCUCUGAACUGCUGACCAUGAACCUGAUGAAGCUAGAGAAGGUGCAGAAGAACCUGCAGAAACUUUUGGAGGAAGCUACCUGAAUGUGAAGAUGAACGUUUACUGUAAAUAUGUUACAGCAGCUGUUACAGACUGUCAUAACUUCCACAUAAUCUGCCCUACAAAGCCAAAAAUACUGCACGAAAACCUGUAAUCCAGGCCGCAGUAGCCCCAAAAAGAGGCAAGCCUUUCUAUUAGGACCUGCGAACAUGAUAAAAAAGGAGCACAGAGGCAGAGCUGCAGCUGAUCCGACUGCAGACAUGCUUAGCAUUAAAUAAAGCUAACAACGAGCUGUUUGUUCACAUUGAGCAAUCUAUUUCAUGCUCCAAUAUUUCACGAAGUGAAAGCUAAUUCUGUGGAGAAUCAUCUUUUUUUAAGUGAAAAUCCUAUGUUGGCCUGACAUAAUCUGGAUUUAGGAUUAGCAUCCACAGGUACAGAGCCACCCAAAGUCUGCAAACUACUCUGGAGGUCUUAAGGUCCUCAGAAGAAAGACUGUACUGUCAUCUGCCUCAGUGUGGUUUCUAAAAAUGACCACAGGAUGGCGCCGAAGAAAAGACAUUUCAAAUACCUACUGUGUGUUUUCGACACACUGUUGUUGUUCUGUUACAGAGACGAG
ensembl:lncRNA